GGCAAGAGCAGGCAGCCACAAACCAGCAGUUCCCCAACUUCCCUUGAAGCAAGUCAUGGGAGCUGAUUCCAUUGACAAACAAACCCAGCAGGUCACCGCAGUCUGCAAGACAGCUUCUUCUGCAAGUUACAAAGAGCUCAGAAGCCCACUCCACGGUAACUCAGACCAGGGCUUUCAGUAUGGCUGCCCCUGUUCUGUGGAACAGUAUACCUGUUGAGAUACGACAGGCAUCCACUAUCUGCAGUUUCUGGAAACGACUGAAGCCACUACAGCUGGGGAUGCGUUUAACGCCUUCCUGUCUAGAAACACCCUAUCCCUAUGUUAACAGCAGCUGACUCGAUCUGUUCCAGGAAAGCAGCGACACAGAGCAAAGAAUCAAUGGUGGUGAUGGACGACAAGGAAAAAAGCUUGUAAGGCCAUGGCAGACAAGGACAGUAUAGCUUCUUCCAUGUUUAAGUGCCACACUCAGAUGUCUUUUACAGUCUUUUAUAGAAAUGUAACACUUGACGUGAAUAAACCUACAUACUACUAAGUACGUACCUAACAGCAAUUGAUAACCAUUUAUUUUAGUGAUGGUGUUUGAGAGUUGGAUACUGUACAUGAUUAUCUCUGAAGAGACGGCAGCUCAGUGACAGAGCAUUUGCCUUGCAUGCAGAAGGUCCCAGGUUCAAUCCCUGGUAUCAGUGUUGACAAUACUGUGUCAGAUGGACCAAUGAUCUGCUUCAGUAUAAGACAGCUUCCUAUGUUUGUCUGGUAUGGGGGAUGUUCUGGAGUAGAACAAAGACAUUGUAUUGUAUAUAGCAGCAAUGGAUUUGACAAGAUAUUCAGUGUGGAUGCCAACCAGGGUGGAAUGUGGUUUUUUUAAAAAUGGUAGGACAGUUAGGAAGUUUUAGAGAUACAGCUCUUUAGCAAAUCAAUAACCGAGAGCCAACACUUCUCCAGGACUUGAAAGGCAUUUACGAUUGGAACAUACCAGAAUUAAAUAGGAUAUUUUCAGAAGGCAGUUGCUAGAAUGAUGUGACAAUAUUUGAUUCAUACUUAACAUACCACAUCUUCCCUUCUACUUUCUAUAUAUCCAUUAUACUGGACAGCCAUCAGUCCAGAAUGCUUUGAUUUGGAUUCCUGCAUUGAGCAGGGGGUUGGAUUUGAUGGCUUCAUAGGCCCCUUCCAACUCUACUAUUCUGUGAUUCUAUACUGAAAAAACCUGACUACAGAGUCAAACUCCUCCCAGAUUUUAAGGUUGCUUAAAAAAAAAAAUCUAGUUACUAUUUCCAAGUUUCAAAAGGAAACUGGUCUGAGAUCCAGAUAAAUAAGAUUCUUGAACUCUCUCCAAUACCUGAAUGGAGGCUUGCACUUCAUUUUACAAACAGGUACUCUGUUCAAGUUCCUUCAAACUUUUUUUUAUUGUUAGGCACUCCUGGCUUCCUUGAGUAGUGAGCUGAUAUGGGCAAACUCUACAGAUUUUAACUUCCUCUGAGUGAGAUAGCACUGGAGAGACUUGUGUCUGUAAUAUUUAUUUUAUGUAUAAAUGCACAAGCAGAGCAUAGUGGAAGCAAAUAAACCCCAACAGCAGGCAACAGAAUUGCAAUUCCUUCAUUAAAAAAACUCAAAAGCAACAGCAUACAUCCUGAAAGUUCUCCACCCUAAGAUGCUUCAAACCCAGAUAAGCUUGCAACUCAAAAAUGCAUAAAUCAGGACUAUCUUGGAAUGCUUGUGAUUCAAAUGCCAUCCUGCACUGUGAAAUAAAAUUAAGUGUUUUUAAAAAACAUAAAUAUCUAAUGUAUAGUUAGUCAUGCACAACACACACCUCAGAAGCCUAAAACGUUCACACUGUAUUUCAGCUGUAAAACUUAAACCCUGUUCAUUUAUAUUAAGGCAUAUUUAUUAUGGCCUGUAUCCAAAGAACUGUGCCUAAGGGCUUGAGCAUGUCCUAGUGGGAUUUUUGCCCCCUCCAAUUUGAACAAUUAACUUUUGUAAAUUGUAUUUUGUAAAUUGUAUUAU